GCAGGGGUGGCAGAGCCAGGUCAAACCCUUAACGGCGCAGACGGGGGGCUAGAUGCGCGGGACUCAAGAUCCCGUGCCGUAGGGCUUCGUGGGUUCAAAUCCCACCCCCUGCA
rnacentral:tRNA from 1 species